CGCCGCCCCAUCGCCCAACAUCCGCGUCCGCCUGCCCGAAGCACGACGCGUGGACACCAGAAACGGCCACAGGACGCGAGGAGGAGGCGUCCGAGACGCCCAAGCCCCUCGGACGCUCGCUGGACUCCGGCUUAAAGGGACGAAAGGCAGACGCCGAAGAAUGGAGGUGGCCGGAUGUUGGGAAUCCGCUGGAAAGGAAAGCAGCCCACACCCAAGUGGCGUCCCUUCUCCCACCUCCUGCUUGACUGUGCCAGGACCGUUCCCAGCGUCCUCUGGAGUCGGCUGGUUUCUCGCCCUGCGAGGUCAGGGCAUCCAGAGCUGGCCCGGCGCCAGCGAGGGGCAGCAGUCCACCCCGGCUGGACUCAGCAGCAGAAGGGCUUGGGGCUCCGUGUGUGUGGUCAGCGGCUACCCCCUGGCGGCGGUGGGCUGCUGGGGCGUCCCGGCUGACUCUGACUUUGGUAUUGAUGAGGCCACUGGAACUGGAUCCAACAUUUAACAGUUGAAGGAUUUCACAUAAACAUGCCCGGCCUUGGCCAGUCAGAAAAGCGCGAGCAGCUCCAGAGUUCUAGAGGCGCCAGCGCCCCCUCCAGGAGGGACGCGGAACCUCCGCGUGCCGGGUCGCCACUGCUCCGAAGGCCAGCGCCCGUCCUGCUCCGAUGGCCAGCGCCCCUGUCCUGCUCUUCAUUUACCUGCCCCUGGACACGGAGCUUUCAACCUCUACCUGGAGUCUCCAGCCAGCCCACCUGUCUGAUUCCCAGGUAGGGCAUCUGGAUCAGGAAGCGGUUCCUAAGCCGCUUGGUGCGGCGGUCUGCAGGCCGGCCAGGCGAGCCCUCUUCUUGAGAGAAGCCUGGAAGCACAGAGGACGCGCCAGACCACAGCCGCGGCUUCCAGAAGGGCCUCUCCUUACCCACAGCCGGCCCUUGCCCUUCUCUCUGCCGCGGUAUCUCUGCAAGGUGGGGCAUGUUGAGUUGGAUAGAGAACUACGCUCAUUCUGCUGGGAGCGGAGUUGACCGAGAGCGGGAGUGCGGGUGGGCUUGGGCGGAGUGCGGGGCUUGGGGCAGGCGGGACGCUGGCGGGGGAGGGGCCCAGAGCCUCCCCGCCUCCCGGGCCCCCGGUAAGGAAGCCAUUGCGCUGGGGUGCGCUGCUAGGGACUCGGGACCAGUCUAAGGCAGGAUGAGAGGAGCCGGUCGCCUCCAGCGCCAUGUGGACCCCUCAGAGGUGGCGGGUGGGGGUGAGGCCAGAUGCCUUGGCUGGCACAGUAAAGAAAAAGGGGGGGACACAGAGCCACAGAAUGGCCAUGCUUAUGUGGGUGAUGAGGAAAGGGUGUUGAGUACUCCGAGUUGGGUUUUUGUUUUUUUUUUUAAAGAUUUAUUUAUUUGUACAUACAGAACUGGGGUACAGGCCAGAGG